rnacentral:rRNA from 1 species
CGUAGGGAGCAAGCGUUGUUCGGAUUUACUGGGCGUAAAGGGCGCGUAGGCGGCAAAUCAAGUCAGCUGUGAAAUCUCCGAGCUUAACUCGGAACGGUCAGCUGAUACUGCUUUGCUAGAGUGCGGAAGGGGCAAUCGGAAUUCUUGGUGUAGCGGUGAAAUGCGUAGAUAUCAAGAGGAACACCUGAGGUGAAGACGGGUUGCUGGGCCGACACUGACGCUGAGGCGCGAAAGCCAGGGGAGCAAACGGGAUUAGGUACCCCGGUAGUCCUGGCCUUAAACGAUGAAUACUUGGUGUCUGGAGUCUCUAUAGCUCCGGGUGCCGUCGCUAACGUUUUAGUAUUCCGCCUGGGGAGUACGCACGCAAGUGUG